rnacentral:ncRNA from 1 species
AGGAGCCGUAUGAUGGGAAACUAUCACGUACGGUUCUAUAGGAGGGGAACGGCUUUAAACCUGGAGCCUAAGUAAGGUUUAAAUGGAGCAAAAAAAAAGUCUUUUUUUCCCCUACCGACCCAAU